rnacentral:rRNA from 1 species
GUGAGGAAUAUUGGUCAAUGGGCGCAAGCCUGAACCAGCCAUGCCGCGUGCAGGAAGACGGUCCUAUGGAUUGUAAACUGCUUUUAUUUGGGAAUAAACUCCGGUACGUGUACCGGCCUGAAGGUACCAAAUGAAUAAGCACCGGCUAACUCCGUGCCAGCAGCCGCGGUAAUACGGAGGGUGCAAGCGUUAUCCGGAAUCAAUGGGUUUAAAGGGUCCGCAGGCGGGCUUAUAAGUCAGUGGUGAAAGCCUACAGCUCAACUGUAGAACUGCCAUGGAUACUGUAGGACUUGAAUUCGAUCGAAGUGGGCGGAAUGUGACAUGUAGCGGUGAAAUGCUUAGAUAUGUCACAGAACACCGAUAGCGAAGGCAGCUCACUAGGUCUGGAUUGACGCUCAGGGACGAAAGCGUGGGGAGCAAACAGGAUUAGAUACCCCGGUAGUCC